CUGACGAUGUCGUUUUUUCGUUUGUUUUGAUACUCCACCGACCCAAUACUCGAGCGCUGUCGUUCAACCGGCAACAAAGCAAAGCUGCGGAGCAAUCUCUGUAAGGAAGACGACGAAGAACUCCGAAGUUAAGUUUUGGACCCUCGUCCAAACACACUGAAAAGAUGGGAACAUGGGGACUCGAAGGCAUCUUUUCUGUUUAUCAAAUUGCCAUCGCAAUGCCUCGUUGUUAUCAAAAUCUUGGUUUAAAAGGACCCUCUAGCGGAGUGGAAGUAGAAGGGAGUUUAUUCAGAGCAUUGGUGAGCGGAAACAUCAAUCGAAGAUAAGAAUUUGGAAGAGCCAAUUCCUGAAGGAUGGGAGUUGAAGGAUGAAGGCUCCAAAACCUCGCACUACUUGUGCCCUACAACUGGUCAGCAUUUUUCAACAUAUGAAGAUCUUUUGAGAUAUGCGAAGGAAAACAAGCUUUCAAUAUAUGUGCCGGGUUUUAAGAUCAACAAACUAAAGAGGAAACGUAAGAGGAUGAGGAACAAACCUAGCUCUGCAGCUAGAGGGAACUCUGGCGGUCAGAGCUCAAGGCCACCACCUCUGAAUCCGGGUAAAGAAAGCAAUGGUUUAGAGGAAACUGCCGACCCUAUGGAAAGCAAUGAUACCGGGGAGGACACCGAAGUUGGUGAGGCUGGGAAGAGCAUUGAAGCUGGUGACCUUGAAGCAUCAGAAGCUAUGAAAGAAUAAGCCUCUGAGGCUAUCCAUUCGUGUCUCCAAGGUGCGGAGUAUUGGCUUUUCUGUUGAUUGUCGGAUUGCUAUUUUCUCUGGUCUCUUCAGAAUAAUGCAUUUUCCAGUUUGGUUAAUCCUGAGUUUACUUUGGUUUGGUAUUUUGAUUUGAGUCUUGUAUGCAUUACAGCAUGAGAGGUCGACUAGGCCGUUAAAAAAACGAAUAAAAUGGACAGAUUG